rnacentral:ncRNA from 1 species
GGGGAGUAUGGUUGCAAACUGAAACUUAAAGAAAUUGACAGAAGGGAACACCAGGGUGAAAACUAUGGCUUAAUGUGACCCGACUUGAGAAACCUCACCCAGCCUGAACACAGACCGCUUGGCAGACUGACAGCUCUUUCUUUCUUUCCUUUUUUGUUUUUCUUUUUUUCCUGAGACAGAGUCUCACUCUGUUGCUGCUCUGUAGAGUGCUGUGCUGUCACAGCUCAUAGCAACCUCAAACUCUUGGGCUCAAGCAUUUAUUUCUCUUGCCUCAGCCUCCCAAGUAGCUGGGACUACAGGUGCCUGCAACAACCCCUGGCUUUUUUUUUUUUUUUUUUUUUUUCUAGUUGUCAUUGUGGUUUUAGCAGGCCUCGGGCUGGAACCCACCAACUCCAGUGUAUGUGGCUGGCGCUGUAACCACUGAGCUACGGGCACCAUCUGAUAGCUCUUUCUUGAUUCCUUGGGUGGUGGUAUGUGGCUGAUCUUAGCUGAGGGAGCAAUUUGGUUAAUUCUGAUAACAAACUCUGAGAUUCUGGCAUUCUAAUUAGUUAGGCAACCCCAAGCGACCCACUGUCUCAACUUCUUUUUUUUUUUUGAGACAGAGCCUCAAGCUGUCCCCCUGGGUAGAGUGCUGUGGCAUUACAGCUCACAGCAACCUCCAACUCCUGGGCUCAAGCGAGUCUCCUGCCUCCGCCUCCCAAGUAGCUGGAACCACAGGCGCCCGCCACAACGCCUGGCUAUUUUUUGGUUGCAGCCGUCAUUGUUGUUUGGCGGGUCUGGGCUGGGGAUUCGAACCCGCCACCUUAGGUGUACGUGGCUGGCGCCUUAGCCGGUUGAGCUAUAAGCGCCGAGCCACUGUCUCAACUUCUUAGAGGGCAAGUGGCAUCCAGCCACCAGAGAUUGAUGCCCUUAUAUUGUCCAAGGCUGUAGACGCACUGUGCCUACCCUGUCAUGGAUAACUUGCUGAGCCCCAUUUGUGAGGGAGAUCAGGGAUUGCAAUUACCAGCAUGAACAAGGAAUUCCCAGUAAGUGCGAGCCAUAAACUUGUGUUUAUUAAGUCCCUUUAAA